rnacentral:rRNA from 1 species
ACGCUCGACAGUGUCAGCAGCCGCGGUAAUACGAACUGUGCAAACGUUAUUCGGAAUCACUGGGCUUACAGGGUGCGUAGGUGGUUAGAAAAGUCAGGUGUGAAAUCCCCCAGCUCAACUGGGGAAUGGCGCUUGAAACUCUCUGACUGGAGUGAGCUAGGGGUACUUGGAACUGCCAGUGGAGCGGUGAAAUGUGUUGAUAUUGGCAGGAACACCGGAGCCGAAAGGGAAGUACUGGGGCUUAACUGACACUGAGGCACGAAAGCCAGGGGAGCAAACGGGAUUAGAUACCCCGGUAGUCCUGGCCGUAAACUAUGAGAACUGGGCGGGGGAGGAUUCGUCCAUCCCGGCCGUAGCGAAAGCGUUAAGUUCUCCGCCUGGGGAUAUGGUCGCAAGGCUGAAACUCAAAUGAAUUGACGGG